rnacentral:rRNA from 1 species
UACGUAGGGGGCAAGCGUUGUCCGGAUUUAUUGGGCGUAAAGAGCGUGUAGGCGGUUUUACAGGUCCGCUGUGAAAACUCGAGGCUUAACCUCGAGAUGUCAUCGGAAACCAUUUGGCUAGAGUCCGGAAGAGGAGAGUGGAAUUCCUGGUGUAGCGGUGAAAUGCGCAGAUAUCAGGAAGAACACCAAUGGCGAAAGCAGCUCUCUGGGACGGUACUGACGCUGAGACGCGAAAGCGUGGGGAGCAAACAGG